rnacentral:lncRNA from 1 species
GUUAUCUUCGCUCAGGCGCCCCCACGUGUCGAUCCCGAGACUCUCGGCUUGCGCAGGCGCUCUUUGGUGUUUACAGCGGCCGCGAAGCCCCGCGUUUGCGCGUGCGCUUCCCGCCCGGGACCGCCCAGAGGUCCCGGACUAGGGGCGGACUAGGGGCCGCUCUGCCUCCCGCCCCCUAGUGGUUGUGGCCGCUCUGUCACCACGGCUCCCGGGGCCUCUGUCGGCUCCACUUUGGUUGAGACGUCUCCACAGCCCAACAACGGCGGCGAUCUGAGGAGAGGCAGGAGAAAAUACGGCGCGCUCGGCAUCGUCCUUCUGACCGGGGACUCCAGCAUCUCAGUCAUCGCGUCACCAAGCCCCACGGACUAUGGAAAGACUACAUUUCUCAACCUUCCUAGUAGAUGUGAUGUCACCAGUCGGAAUUGG